GAACGCUAGCUACAGGCUUAACACAUGCAAGUCGAGGGGCAUCAGGAAGAAGGCUUGCUUUCUUUGCUGGCGACCGGCGCACGGGUGAGUAACACGUAUCCAACCUGCCCUUUACUCGGGGAUAGCCUUUCGAAAGAAAGAUUAAUACCCGAUGGCAUAAUGAUUCCGCAUGGUUUCAUUAUUAAAGGAUUCCGGUAAAGGAUGGGGAUGCGUUCCAUUAGGUUGUUGGUGAGGUAACGGCUCACCAAGCCUUCGAUGGAUAGGGGUUCUGAGAGGAAGGUCCCCCACAUUGGAACUGAGACACGGUCCAAACUCCUACGGGAGGCAGCAGUGAGGAAUAUUGGUCAAUGGGCGCUAGCCUGAACCAGCCAAGUAGCGUGAAGGAUGAAGGCUCUAUGGGUCGUAAACUUCUUUUAUAUAAGAAUAAAGUGCAGUAUGUAUACUGUUUUGUAUGUAUUAUAUGAAUAAGGAUCGGCUAACUCCGUGCCAGCAGCCGCGGUAAUACGGAGGAUCCGAGCGUUAUCCGGAUUUAUUGGGUUUAAAGGGAGCGUAGGUGGACUGGUAAGUCAGUUGUGAAAGUUUGCGGCUCAACCGUAAAAUUGCAGUUGAUACUGUCAGUCUUGAGUACAGUAGAGGUGGGCGGAAUUCGUGGUGUAGCGGUGAAAUGCUUAGAUAUCACGAAGAACUCCGAUUGCGAAGGCAGCUCACUGGACUGCAACUGACACUGAUGCUCGAAAGUGUGGGUAUCAAACAGGAUUAGAUACCCUGGUAGUCCACACAGUAAACGAUGAAUACUCGCUGUUUGCGAUAUACAGUAAGCGGCCAAGCGAAAGCAUUAAGUAUUCCACCUGGGGAGUACGCCGGCAACGGUGAAACUCAAAGGAAUUGACGGGGGCCCGCACAAGCGGAGGAACAUGUGGUUUAAUUCGAUGAUACGCGAGGAACCUUACCCGGGCUUAAAUUGCAGUGGAAUGAUGUGGAAACAUGUCAGUGAGCAAUCACCGCUGUGAAGGUGCUGCAUGGUUGUCGUCAGCUCGUGCCGUGAGGUGUCGGCUUAAGUGCCAUAACGAGCGCAACCCUUAUCUUUAGUUACUAACAGGUUAUGCUGAGGACUCUAGAGAGACUGCCGUCGUAAGAUGUGAGGAAGGUGGGGAUGACGUCAAAUCAGCACGGCCCUUACGUCCGGGGCUACACACGUGUUACAAUGGGGGGUACAGAAGGCAGCUAGCGGGUGACCGUAUGCUAAUCCCAAAAGCCUCUCUCAGUUCGGAUGGAAGUCUGCAACCCGACUUCGUGAAGCUGGAUUCGCUAGUAAUCGCGCAUCAGCCACGGCGCGGUGAAUACGUUCCCGGGCCUUGUACACACCGCCCGUCAAGCCAUGGGAGCCGGGGGUACCUGAAGUACGUAACCGCAAGGAUCGUCCUAGGGUAAAACUGGUGACUGGGG
rnacentral:rRNA from 1 species